GUAUCUGUAGCAGGAGGCGAGGUGCACGAGGUCUGUGUUUGAGAAAAUGUUUGCAUAGGGCUGUUAAGUGUGAUCCAAUGUGACUGGGGUGGAGAUCUGUGGGUGCUCAUAAACUAAGGUUGUGUUGAUAGAACGGUAUCAUUCUCAGAGACUAGGUAUAUUGUUACAGGAGAUGGCUUGUAGGGAGGACAGCUAACUGCACAAUAUAGGGACUAUUAUGAAGUUAAAUUGAACGCGGUGAGAGUACCCAGAUCGUGGUGAGAGUAGCAGAGAUUGUAUUGGCAUUUCAGACACUAUGGUGAACUUUCAAGAAACCUGUGACUCGGAUAUUCUUCAAACUCAUUCACCUCUUUGCCAAUUUCUAACAGCCGGCGAACACUUGACAGAUUCCAUGCAGUAGUUAUUCUCACGGCCGUCGCUGUAGGGACAGUAAUUGAAGGAGGCUAUAGUCUUGUUAGUAGUAGCAGGGGUUACUUUAGUAGCAUUGUUGGCAUAUUUUAUGAGGACUCCUGCCACAUGGCUUGGUAACUGGGCGAACGCUGGGAAUACCGGGGGCUGUUAUUCACGCCACUGAUUAGUGAUCUGGGCUAAGGGGAGAGUCUGUUGUCAGGAAAUGACCCAUACGUUGCAAUGUGUAUAUUCCCAGGUGGAAGCGGCACAUGAGGAGCAGGAGAUAACAGAGGGCGUGACUGAAUUCUGGAGAUUGAGUGUACAUCAAGAUACACCAGGCUGGGGUGUUGGGACAAUGUUGGUCUGUUCCACACAGAGUACUGCUUACAGCACCUGCAGCGGUAAAGAUCGUCAUGUCUCUCCUCGGAACCAGAAGGAGAAAGAGGAAGAAGUCAACAGCUCCAGUGGACAUGUUAUUUUCAGUGUUCUGAGAAAUGGAAAGACUCGUGUGAUCAUAGAAGAGGCCAUGAGUCUCAGAGUUUGUAAACCUCACUGUGAAUGUUAAUUAUGUUUUAUAUUUUGUUCAUGUUUGUCCAUUUAUAAGUUUAAUGUAAUGUUGAACAGUAUGGAGUGAAAUGUUCAAAAACGGGGGACUGAUGGAUACUAACUCCUAAACUUGGGAUAGGGUUCAUUAUCAGGUAUCCUAUUGAGUGUUUAGGUUUAGAGGGUCUACACCAGAAGUUAAUGGUUAUCUGUAGGAAGGAGGUAUAUAUUGUGUGCAAUAAAGCUUGAAUUGUGCUGAGUGUAGGGAAGUGAUCCCGUGGCAGGCAUUGGUCAGGGGAGAGAGACAUGGAUUAGUGAUGAAGGGGGUUGAGGUCAGGUCAUGUUAAGGGAGAAAGUUUAUGGCCCGUAUCACUUUGUUUCCUGCCUAGCAACAAAGAUACUAUGUUUGUUCAGAUGAGUAGGAGGAGAUUCAGUGCUUGUGUGAAAUGUCGUUGUCUGAUGCAUCUGUAUUGAUCCUCUAGGAAGAAUAAAGUUGGUUUGAGUUUUCA